AGUGUUAGGACAAAGUUACUUGGAUUUUGCCUUCUCUUUAGCUUAACUACCAGUACUUAGAGUUCCAGGCUGAAUUUGGAGGACAAAGAGUCUGGGAAAAAGCAAUGAAUUCCUUUUAACUUUUAACAAGGCAGCCUUAACCAAAAAGCAUGAACCUUUCCACCUCAUUCAUCUCAGUGAAGUGCCAGCUUUGCACUCCUUGGUUUCACUCAAUGUCAGUGCCACUUGCUUUAUUGCUGAAUGUUUUAUCUGAAGGUUUGGAAGGGACAUGCUGGGAUGUGCAGGGAAAUAAAAGCACAGGAAAGAAGAACAAUGAUACAGAAAGGAAGAAGGCAUCAGAUGUCUUCUGCAUAUGGGUGAUGAAUUGAGCCCCUCUGGUGACUGCAGAAGAAAUGGGAGCUGGAACUUUGGUUGUGUCACCCAUCACAACGCCCAACCCCUGAGGGCAGCCACUUCUGUUUCACUGAUGCCAAAGGUAGAAGUCUUUCCCCAGAACCGUUUGAGAUUGUCCCUCUUGCAAAGCAGGCUAGUUUCCUCUUGUCCUUCUUCCUUGUCCCACUCUUUCUGCUGUAGUAGUCUGAGCCGUCAUGGAGACCAGUGCAAGUGCGUGUGUUUAAAUAGCCUGAGUGCUGUUAAUUGGAGACACUGACAUUGGUAUUGACACCCCAGUGGCUUCAUGGAGACUCAUGUCUUCCCUUGUCUGUCCUGUAUCCAAAGAGCACCAGUCUGCAUUUGGCCUUGUCUCCAUCACAGUGGCUCCUUCCCUGCUCAGGUGUUUUUCCAGAACCUUUCCCACUCUUCCCUGCUUUCCCCCUUGCCUUUUCCCAGCAGGUUUUCAGUACGCUGCAAUCAGACAUUCUUCUCCAUGUCACUUGGCUGGGAUUCUCCAUUCUUAGUCUCCAUUAUUUUCUAAGCCCCUCUCAUGGCCUAUAGCCAGAAUGGGAGAGAAGUGAUCACUUUUGAGGGCUAUAACUCCUGAAACAUCUCUAAUGCUUCUAGUGCAAAUGAUGCAGCUUUGCACAAGUUUUGGCACCUUUGUUACAGACGCAUGCAGCGUUCCUCUUCCUGCAGAGAAAAAUUCAAGGCUAUGCUGCAAAAUGUUUGGCUUUCUUCUUUUAAACAGAACAACCAAAUCUUGUGAUUUUUUUUUCACCUCUAUCUCUGUGUUGUAGCUUUUUCACACCUCUGUGCUUAAAAGCCCCUUCAGAGGCACUAACAUGAGUCCCUGCUUCUUUGGAGAAGAGGUGGCUUAAAAAAAGCACAGGACUGUGAAGGAGAGAUGGGGCUGUGGGAGCUGAGUGAGGCUGAGCCAAGCCAGAGGAAAAGGCAGCACUGACUGAAGUCAAGGAGAGGUAAGGGCCUGGAGGGGUAAGCAGUGAGGGCUGCUGGAGCCUGUCCUCCAUUGACUGGAUAAACAACUCACACAGCAAUAACAAAUAAUUUUAUGAGGAGCUAGAUAAGCUUUUAAGGAGGAAAAGUGGUCUGGGGUGUAACUGCAAAUUGAGGAAAGCAGCUGAGAUGGGUUUCCCUGUGGCCGUCUGUCCUCUAUUUGGCAGCAGCUCAUUUGUGAAAGAAAGCAAUCAGGAGUGGUUUAUGAUGCUAAGACGUGUCAAUGACUUGCACUCAGUGAAAAUCAUUGAUGUUUCUGCUUUAGCUAGAUUUUGCUACUUGCACUUGACAGCAUUUCACUGCCUGAAAUCCUGUUUUGUUAAACCUGGCAAUGAGUAAAAUCACAAGUUCCUUAAGAAAAUCCUCUGAGCUUGGAAGGGGAAAGGUUCGUUACCCCUGUAAUUAUCAGGUAAACUCCACUUUGAUGGGACACUCAGUGCUUUCUGACUUACCUCCACUCCCCUUCUCAUAGCCCCCUAAUUACCAGGUGCCACUCAGACUGUAGUUUGCCACUGUUUGAUGCACACUGUAGAAAACUGAUUAUGUGUCACUGUGAAACACUCUGAGAGCCAGGCCAUAAAUAUUUCCAUCAGCCUGUCUCUGUACCAUCCCCAGGACUCUAGUUUCUGCAAUACAGGUAAUCCCUCAAUAUGCAGUUUGGGUUUUGGUUUCUUUGGAGCUGACCCUUAUGCAAAAGAAAUAUUACCUUGGAAACAGAGUUGAAAGAUAGGCUUACGGACCUACUCUCUUAUUUCCUCUUUAUUUUGGAAAUGUACGAUGUUGUGAAUGGUUCAUCAUAACAUAUGCCAGCAGAAGCAUGCCAAAAAUAACAGUCUGAAGCAGCACACGGUAUGUAACGCUUGCAUACUUCUCCGAAAGAUAGAGAGAUCAUUGAAACAACACAUGUCAGAUGCUAUUACUGUCAUAUUGUUGGGGCCAUCUGUUAGAGGCCAAGAUCAAGACCUGCUGCUUUCCAUGGAACAGCAGCUCCACAAAGGACUGUGGCAAAUUAAGCUGUAUCUGCUCAGACCUGGGAAGCUCAUUUGAGGGGUUUGCUUGUUUGACUUCAAGAUUUCGUCGGGGAUAAACCAAAGUGUGUAUUUGGAUAUUGCUCCAGGGGAAGUCUGGGAAGAACCUUUUAAAUUCUUUUCUGUUUGUUUGCUGUGUGUGGGAUUUUAAGGGCUAAGUAGCAGGUACAAGGUAAGGACUGAAUUGUCAGGAUGGGAUGUGUGCAUUUGCACCCACAGUUAUGUUUUUGGGAAAACAUGUUCAUAAAUAAAGUUCAUACAAGUGUUUACGUACAAUUAUUUGUAGCUAAACAAUAAUUUGGCAGCAACCUACAGUUGUGUUUGCCAGCCAAUGCAUUUGACUAUACACCCAGAUUUUCAAAGCAAAGACUUUUGAAGUUGCAUAUGGAAUUUGGAUGCCAAAUCCUUCUGGUGGUCUUCAACAUCUCAACUAGACUACCUGUAAAUCUGCUUAUAAGAUGAAGCUCUAUAUAAUUUUGGAUCCACAGGGAGUUUUGCUACUGACAGCAGUGGGCUGGAUUUCACACAUACACUUACUGUAUCAAUAUAGCUGCUAACACACGCACAUCUAUACAUAUAGAUAUGUGUUUUCAAUAGUAUUAACAUAAUGGCACAGCUUUUAGUCCCACUGCAUUCAUAUAAGUUUAUGUAAUGGGCAUAUGUUUAACUGACAUGUUUUGUAGUAGUUUUAAUGUCCUUGCUGAUACCAGAACACUAAAGAAUUAAACGUAUUGAAGUGGAAGAUUGAAAGUUGCUGUUAUGAGGACACAUGUGGUUCAAAUGCGAUGAAGUGAGGGCAGUUUUCAGAUGUAGGUAAAUGACAUCAUAGAUAUAGAUAUUUUUGUGGAGUUUUUUUUUUUCUGCUGCAUGUUGGUGAAAGACUUGGACCCAGUUCCUGCCCAUUCUGCACCUCCUAGUUAGUGGGAGAUCUCUCACUGCAAAAAAGCCUUCAAAGCUUUGCUUCAACUCUGAUGCAGGAGGAGCUUCUGUUUUGAAAUCUCAGGCUGUGCUACAGCAUAUGGACAUUUUUCCUGCAGAUUCAUGAUGCACAUGUUCCUCAUGAAAGCAUCCUUCUGUUCCUAGAGGAGCCCAGCACAAGGGGGUAUGCUAGCCAAAGACGCCCUCCUAGGGAGGGUGCAGGAGAGAGCCCCAGGGAGGAAGAGGCUCAGAACUGGUACCAAAAUAAGAAAUGAGCAGCAGGAAAAUGUCUGUUUUUCUGCAGGUCAGGAGGGGGUAUGUGUGCGGUGGAGGAAGGACUGCUGGGGAUUCGAGCUGGCAGCACCAGAUACUUCUGCUCACUGGAUGUUUCUGUGCUUUAUUCAAUGAUUGUUUCAUGUAAAAUCUGUGGAUAACCAUUAGAGUUGGGGUAGGAUCCAGGUCCCCAUUUCCAGGAAAGCACUCUCACUGCAAAGACAGGGACUUUAAGUUUGUUAACUGUGCCUUUAGGGGUUGGAGAGAGAGGCUUUGCUUGUGGAGGUCAGACUUUGAGGAAGGGGCAGUAACUUCAUGCUCACAGCAGUUUUAUAAUCUAUCACUGUUCUUUCCUCUGGGUUUCUUGUGGGAAAGUGGUGUAGAAAGGUGCUGCUGCAGCCAUUGCUGGUGAGGAAUAAUGAUCCCAACUGCAGCACCCUCUUAUACACAUAUCACUGUCUGGGGAUACUAACAGUGCAAAGUGAUUAUGCAGUGCAAAAGUAUCUAACAACC